CUUUCUCUCCCCCCCUUCUUCCACAGUCCCCAACUUGCUGCUCUGGAGGUCCACCCCUUAAUUCCUUAAGAAUAACAAAAUAAUUUCAAUCUGACUAUAAUAUACCUCCCCACUUGCUGUUUUCAAGCUACACCCAGGUUUCGACUUUUAAAAAAACUGCCAAAAAUUAUUUAAAAGCGAUUAAACCCAUAUGGUUGAUCAGGAUCGAUUCAUUACACUGACUCAUUCUCUGGGUUGCAUUUUAAGGUUUCAGAGGCUCAGCAGCAUCUUCGGGCUGGGCCAUUCUCCGGGAGUUCAAGCCAAGUGACAAACAUAUCCAUUUUUAAAAAAAACACACACACAAAAAAGCGUAUAUGCUUAGAAAAUCCCCUAAAUGUCAUCUCACUUUGUUCCUUCCCCUCCUCCAGAUGCCACGCUGCCCGUGAAAAGCCACUCCACCUCCCACCAGCUGGCUCCACCUCCCUUCCAGGCCAGCUGAUCGAGAGCUCAUCGCGGGAGCGGAACGUGUCUACCGACUCUAUUCUACUGUCCUCUGCCAAACACUUCGGAGAGUGCUCUGCCCACGGUAAGCGCUCGAUAAAUGCCAUUGAUGGCCUUUGUGUGUACCCAGGGUGUCCAGGGAUGUGAGUUCCUCCCUGGCCUUUUCAGUCACAUUUGGCCCUCCCAGGUGAAUUGCACUGUCGGCGUAGCCUUCGAAUACCAAGGCCGACCUCACAAUGGGGCCCCAGCUGAUGUUCUUCAUUCCUCUCCCGUCAGCCUCCUUGCGGAGCCCCGCUCUCUCUUCUCCCGCCUAUCCGCUCCCUGCCCGGCCCACCUCACCCCCUCCCGUCCGACAGACCGGUACCCUCCCCCAGAUGCCCGGCCCCCGGCGAGCCGGGCCGGGCCGGGCCCCGACCCGCUACCUGAGACCGUAGGACCUGCACCUCCUCGGCCAGGUCCUGCCUCUCCCUGAAGAGCUGAUUCUGCUUGUUCAGGAGCUGCACCAGUUGCUGGGCCGUGGCCUGGCAGUGCUUGUCCAGCUGGUUCAGCCUGUGGAGAGACACACCUCGGGGAAAUCACCAGCUCCAGGACCAUUGACCAGAUGUCUUCGAAGACCCGCCAUUCUGCUGAUGGGUUUAACCUUUCCAGACCUGUACAUUUAAACUACGACUCUUCUCCGGGAAUGGGAGCCUCUUCCCGUUUCAACCGGCCAUUCCGCAUUCCCUUCUCUAUCGCCGGUCCAAAUGAAGAUGUGAAAUGAAA